rnacentral:rRNA from 1 species
UACGGGGGGGGCAAGCGUUGUUCGGAAUUACUGGGCGUAAAGGGCUCGUAGGCGGCCUUCUAAGUCGAACGUGAAAUCCCUGGGCUCAACCCAGGAACUGCGUCCGAUACUGGAAGGCUUGAAUCCGGGAGAGGGAUGCGGAAUUCCAGGUGUAGCGGUGAAAUGCGUAGAUAUCUGGAGGAACACCGGUGGCGAAGGCGGCAUCCUGGACCGGUAUUGACGCUGAGGCGCGAAAGCCAGGGGAGCAAACGGG